CAACACGCGAUUUUACACCGAUCCACAAUAAUAUAACAAAUAAAUAAAUAAACAAUACCGAUUCCCUAGCGAUCUCGCGACUCCAUGAUUAUGAUUCGUGGAUUUUAUAAUGAUCUUAGAUCUACGCUCUAAAGGCAAUCCUAGCAGAUCCACAACCAAUUCGAUUGCUUUGAUUGUCAUGCGUGAAUCGUGACGUCUGACUAGACACAACUCGCUACGCGGCGCGGAUGACUCGCCGAGCGCGGCUCGUGCCGGAUAGCCCCACCUCCGUGCCCGUCGGAGUGGGGAGCGUGAGGUUUUUUCGGAAUUACGGAAUUUCUGGAUUUGGUCCCCGCGCUCAAGGCCUGCGAUAGAAGCUAUGCAAUAGCUUAAAAGCGGCUGCAAGUUGUGUAGCUUAGUCAGUCUUCCGGUCCCGUUCGUGCGAGAUACUGCCAGAGGUCCUGACGAGUUAUCCCGAGUCCCGGCGCGAUCUUCAUCGUAUAUUUAUCAGACCGACGCAGACUUUCGGAUCGCAACCGUUCAUAACAAAACGGAUUAUUGCAGUCUCACCGCGAAAUUCCGCGAAUUUGAUGAGCGCUUCAUAUAACUGGUCAAUCCAGGUUGUUGAGUCCGCGAUCCUAAAUCUAUAAACUCCAUAGGCAUUCAAAGGCUUGGAUCCUUCAAAAUUAUAGGGAUCCCAAUUUGCACAAACGAAAUUUUAUAUGGAUCAUCGCAUUCGCUGUUACAUUGGCAUAUUAGCCGAGACUGGUGUAUGUCGAUUCGCCCGUAAGAUGUUUUCGUGUUCUUCAGCAAUAGACAUGAACGAGUUCUACAAUGUAGACUACUGCUCGCUCUUCCCAAACUAUGGAAGCCCAUCCGCCAGGAUUCUGAGCGUUUACAUUGACUGUAGUAUACCGAAGCGACAUACAUUGAAACUACGCUUCAGACUACGCCAGCGUUCAAGCUGAUUCUUGCUCUUAUUUAUGUAUAUGAGAAACAGGAUACAAUGAGAUGCGAAGUGUGUCUGCAGUCACUGAAUCCGGGAUCUGGUUAUGAAGAACAUGUUUCUAGGCACUUUACCAGAUCUGUGAAAAGUUGAUGAAUAAUUAAGAAUCUACAUAGAGGAUUUUAACCAAGACAUUAUGAUUAUAAUUAUGUGCCCAAUAAGUAUUAAAAAUAAAUGUUCUAUAAAACUUAUUUCUGUGUGUUUUAUUUAUUUAAAAUUACAAAAACAUUGAAAAUCUUUAUAAUUCAAG